rnacentral:rRNA from 1 species
AACCGCCCGGGAAUUACGAGCGCAAGCUUAAAACCCAAAGGACUUGACGGAUUCCCAUCCACCUAGAGGAGCCUGUUCUAUAAUCGAUAAUCCACGUUAUACCCUACCAUUUUUCGCCCCCCCAGCCUGUAUACCUCCGUCUCCAGCUUACCAUCUGAGUGUAUAAAGUAAGCCCAAGGGUCUAUUCACCAACACGUCAGGUCAAGGUGCAGCCUAUAAAAUGGAAAGCAAUGGGCUACAAUUUCUACCUUAGAACAAACGAAAAACUACAUGAAACACAGUCAUGAAGGCGGAUUUAGCAGUAAAAGAAAAAUAGUAAACUUCUUUUAACACGGCCCUGGGAAAUGUACAAACCGCCCGUCACCCUCUUCAAUAGCAUUUUCUUUAGUUCUUUAACAACAAAUCAGCAUCCAAGAGGAGGUAAGUCGUAACAUGGUAAGUGUACUGGAAAGUGCACUUGGUUAAACAAAGUGUAGCUUAAUUAAAGCCUUUCGCUUACACCGAAAAAAUACCUGUUCAACCCAGGUCACUUUGAGCCCUAAAUCUAGCCUACUCUAUAUGUACAUUAUAUGUAUAUAUAUACUAUUAUAAUCAAAAUAAAACAUUUUAACCAUCUAGUAAAGGAGAU